CUAAAAGGGAAAUAUUGAAAAACUACAAACAUAAUUACCGAUAAUUUGCCGUUUUGCAGUUGUUUUUGUAUUUUUUAAAGAUUUUUCUUUUCGCUGAAGUCUUGAAAUUUCCACACCGAAUAGCAAUUUUCAACAGCUUCAAUUUGAUAUAUAGGCCGACGUUUGGGGUCAAGUAUUUCUGCUCAUAACUCAGAAAAACUAUUUUGGCUUCAUCAAAUCAUAGGCCUUCAUCAUAGCAGUUAGCCUUCCAGUUUAUUUAUAGUUCAAUGAGUCCACCCUGUUACACGUUCACUGAGCUGUAUAAUAACUGGAGGACCUGCUCCUAUACUUCGUUCGGUCAACCAAGCGAAGCCAAAAACAUGGCG